AACAAGAACCACCUCCAGACGGCAUACAACACUUUAAGGCAAACACAUCUCUCUUCGUUAAAUCUCUUUCUGGCUAUUUGAAUGCCAGAGCGGACUCAGUGGAACAGUACACAAAGACUGUCUGCAACUAAAACUGUUAACUGCAACUGACCCGCAAAGACUGCCUGGCUAAAGACAACGCAGGGUUGUCAUUAGGGUGGUGCAACUGGGUCCCGCGGUUUAGUGAACAGACCGAUUGGGCAGUCGGCCCCCAGCCCCAACCCAAACCUGGAAAACUUGUACCUCUGGGUACACGUUAGCUUGGGGUGACACUGGAACAAUGAACCAUGCAACUACUUGCCAUCGCUGUUUUUUUUAAAGCAAAAGAUAAGCUGACGAUGCGCCACUCGUGAGAGGGUUGGCAUGACAUACAGCAGCAUGGUCUUAAUCUUUGUCCGGUGUUGGUAAACUAAUUAUAAUGCUACAGCGCAGAUAUUCUUCCUGUGAUUGAUGAACGACGAUUUGCUCCAAAAAUCCUAAUCGGAGCACCCUUACAGGAGAACACUCUGCUGUGCGGGUGUAUGGCAGAUGCCAAGACAUGUUGGCAAUGUUCAAGAGAAAUGCCUGACAUGCCAACGUGUUCAAGCUGAGAAUACAGGCUAUCUGAAUAAAUGGUGCAGAAUAUGAGCAUCAUCUCAUACAUCUUGA